rnacentral:tRNA from 1 species
AAUAAAGUGCCUGAAAAAAAGGAUUAUUCUGAUAGGAUAAAUUAUGUAGAAUUUCUACCUUUAUUA